rnacentral:rRNA from 1 species
AGAGUUUGAUCAUGGCUCAGAUUGAACGCUGGCGGAAUGCUUUACACAUGCAAGUCGAGCGGCAGCGCGGGGCAACCUGGCGGCGAGCGGCGAACGGGUGAGUAAUGCAUCGGAACAUGUCCAUUCGUGGGGGAUAGCCCGGCGAAAGCCGGAUUAAUACCGCAUACGCCCCGAGGGGGAAAGCGGGGGACUUCGCAAGAGGCCUCGCGCGAAUGGGUUGGCCGAUGUCCGAUUAGCUAGUUGGUGGGGUAAAGGCCCACCAAGGCGAUGAUCGGUAGCUGGUCUGAGAGGAUGAUCAGCCACACUGGGACUGAGACACGGCCCAGACUCCUACGGGAGGCAGCAGUGGGGAAUUUUGGACAAUGGGGGCAACCCUGAUCCAGCCAUUCCGCGUGAGUGAAGAAGGCCUUCGGGUUGUAAAGCUCUUUUGUCCGGAACGAAACGGGCUUGGUGAAUAGCCAAGUCUACUGACGGUACCGGAAGAAUAAGCACCGGCUAACUACGUGCCAGCAGCCGCGGUAAUACGUAGGGUGCGAGCGUUAAUCGGAAUUACUGGGCGUAAAGCGUGCGCAGGCGGUUUUGUAAGCCAGAUGUGAAAUCCCCGGGCUUAACCUGGGAAUGGCAUUUGGGACUGCAAGGCUCGAGUGCGGCAGAGGAGACUGGAAUUCCUGGUGUAGCAGUGAAAUGCGUAGAUAUCACG